GAUGAAGAACGUAGCGAAAUGCGAAAAGUAAUGUGAAUUGCAGAAUUCAGUGAAUCAUCGAAUCUUUGAACGCACAUUGCGCCCGCUGGUACUCCGGCGGGCACGCCUGUCCGAGCGUCAUUUCAACCCUCAAGCCCUCCUUCGGGAUGGGCCUGGUGUUGGGGCUCGGCCGCCAUCUCCGGCGGCCGUCCCCUAAAUACAGUGGCGGUCACGUCGCGACUCCUUUGCGUAGUAGAACCACCUCGCUCCGGAUAGCAACGCGGUCCACGCCGUAAAACCCCCAAUUUUCAAUGGUUGACCUCGGAUCAGGUGGGAAUACCCGCUGAACUUAAGCAUAUCAAUAAGCGGAGGA
rnacentral:misc_RNA from 1 species